AUGUGGUCCCGGUUCUAUCCCACAGUCUCCAGUCAGGGCCCCUCCGUCUUCCCCUUGAAGUUCUGCAAAACCACCAAAGGCGGCAACUCCGUGACGCUGGGCUGCCUGGUCAGCAACUACUUUCCAGAGCCCGUGACCGUGACUUGGGACGUGGGGUCUCUGAAAAGUAACAUCUCGACCUUCCCUGCCACCUUGCUCUCAACCUCCGGCCUCUAUACCACCACCAGCCAGGUGACCGUCUUCGGCGAGUGGGCGGAACAGAAGUUCACUUGCAAUGUGGAGCACGCCGGAUCCGCCCCCAUCAACAAGACGGUUUCAAUAUGCCCCAGCAACAUCACCCUGCCCACCGUGAGGCUCUUCCACUCCUCCUGUGACCCCAGUGGCAACACCGCUGCCAUCAUCCAGCUGCUGUGCCUCAUCAGCAACUUCACUCCAGGUGACAUUGAAGUCACCUGGCUGGUGGAGGGGCAGAAGACCGAGGGUAUGUCCUUGUACAAUGGCCCCCACAAGCAGGAGGGCAACCUGUCCUCCACCUUCAGCCAGCUCAAUGUCACCCAGGGCCAGUGGGUGUCCCAAAGGACCUACACCUGCCAGGUCAACUAUCAAGGCUGCACCCUUAGAGCCUACGCCCGCAACUGCCCAGAGUCGGAGCCCCGCGGGGUGAGCAUCUACGUGAUCCCACCCAGCCCCCUCGACCUGUACCUCUACAAGUCGCCCUACAUCACCUGCCUGGUGGUGGACCUGGCCAGCGUGGAAGGCAUAAACCUGACGUGGUCACAGAAGAGUGGGAACCGCAUGCUAAAGGCCACAAAUAACACCAGGCAUCACUUCAACAUGACUUACACCUUCAUAUCCACCCUGCCGGUGGACACCGACAACUGGACCCAGGGCGAGACCUACACGUGCAAACUGACCCACCCACACCUGCCCAGGAGCAUCGAGCGCAGCAUCGCCAAGGCCCCCGGCAAACGUGUCGCCCCCGAGGUCUACAUGUUGCUGCCGUCCGAGGAGGAACAGAAGAACAAGAGCACGGUCACCCUCGCCUGCCUGAUCCAGAACUUCUUCCCCGCGGACAUCUCGGUGCAGUGGCUGCAAGAUGAGAAACCGCUGCCGCUGGACCAGCACAGCACCACGUGGCCCAUCAGGGACGCGGGCCCCAGCCCUGCCUUCUUUGUCUUCAGCCGCCUGGAGGUCAACCGGACGCACUGGGAGAAAAAGAACACCUUCACCUGCCAAGUGAUCCACGAGGCACUACCGAACAAGAUCCUCCAGAAAUCAGUGUUCAAAGUCCCUGGUAAAUGA